rfam:Ictidomys tridecemlineatus contig078089, whole genome shotgun sequence.
GGCAUUGUGGCUCAGCGGUAGAGCACUUGCCUAGCAUGUGUGAGGCCCUGGGUUCGAUUCUCAGCACUGCAU